GUGGAAAAUGAUAUAUGAAUUUAAGAAUUAUACUAUUAGCACAGCACAACUGAAUGUUAGUUCAUUUAUGCCACAAUAAACCUAUAAUCAAAUACUUUUGAUCCUGUUUGCACUGUUCCAUGCUCUUUCAAUUUUGGACUAAUGUUAUUACCAUCUAUUAAGCAUGAGACCUUUCUGUGCUGGGAACAUUGCUUAUCAGAUCUGGGUAAUCUUCCUGUUGAAAUCCCUCUCAGUCAACAGAUGAAGUGGCAUGAUUAUUGCAUCUUCCUAGCUAGUGGCUAAUAGGUUGUGAGCUGUGUCUUUCUGAACGAUCCCUCUGGAUUUCCAGAGCUUGAAACAAUUAGAAGAGGCUCUCGUGAGUCUUAAGUCAUGAGCAUGUUCUUGAGCAUUCAGUUGUCUCAGCUCUACUGGACUGCUGAAUGCUGUCAGAUUUAGGAAUGUGGAAGUACCAUCUUGGAACAGAACCACGACCUGGCUACAUCUGUUAUCCCGUCGCCAGUGCUGCACAGUCCGGCACGGAUACUGCUGACAACGGCCUAUCAGCCCCGUAGCAGGCAGAGAGGGAAUAAUCCACCCUUUGGCCUUCUCUGGUGAUGCUCACACUAAUCUGUAUCAGUUAAUGAUUGGCUUGAAAUCUGAAACAUGAAAUAUUUUUUCUAUGUAGCUGAUACCUGAAUUAUACUUGAAUAUUCUGGAAAUAACUACUUAAUCGCUCUCUUAAUAUUGAAUCCUAGCCUUUAAUGGUCUCAUGUGACAGCAGGUUCUGCAGUUUGAUUACACAGUGAGUAUAAAAGUAUUGCGUUGUAUAGUAUUUUCUCAUGUUCCUUGUUUUCUGUCUACUCUUUUCUGCACCAUUUCUAAGACAGAUCCUAAUAGUCUCUGUUUUCCAGGGAGCAAUGUCUUUUCUACCCUUCCCCAAAUUUGUUCUGGUUUUCCAAAAUCCUUUCCAUAGAUGCAGCGAACAGAGUGCUUAUAAUAUUCUAGACAAAUUUGUGCCAACAGUUUCUCAUUCUAGCAUCAUCUUUGCAUUUUUGACUACAGUUGUGCACAGAAAUACUUUGUCACUGACCUGUCUAAAAUAAUGCUGAUAUCCUUUUCCUGAGUAAUUACUGCCAUGUAAACAUACCUACUAAUUCAGCUAAUUUGGAGUUGAGCAAAGUGUACUAGUAAUUCACACUUUUCCCUCCAAUGAAGUUUGCACUUAUCAACUUUGAUCUCCUUUCUUAUUUUUGUGUCCAUUUACCUAGUGUGAUUGGAUCCAUUUGUGCGGUAAUUUCAUUUUUCCUUCUCCUGUGCAUAGUGCAUGUUCAUUGAUAUUUGAACUGAGAUGCUGCGUUCCUAGGUAGAUAGAAUAAUCCAUUGUAAUCUGUGUAGGAACACUUUUAGUUAAAUUUGUAACUAAGCAUAUCAGGGAAAAAAUGCAAUAUAUUAUGCUAUAUUUAGUAUUUAAAUAAAAUAAUGAGCACUAACAGCCAUUGUUAAAUGAGUGAGAAAGAGAAAAGUGUGGGAGGAAUUGGGUUAUUUUUAAAUCAGUUUCUAAUUCAUUUGUUUAUUUCUGUAAAGCUGGCAAAUAUCUGUACCAAAACAAAUCCAAAAAUGUAAAUGUCCAGCAUUAUAAUUUACCACAACAUAGGCACAAAUGGCUAUAGUUAAUUACUUUUCUGAGAGUUCAUUUUGAAAUGAAAAUUCAGAGCAUCAGUAUUAAAGUAGGUUAUGAGCAAAAGGAAAACAGCUAAUGGAGACUCACUUUCUUGCAAAAGGAACCCCCCCCCCCCCCAUGCAUUUAAAAGAAACCCUGUAUGUGCAAGAAAAUUUGGUAGACGAAGUGUGUGUGGGGGGAGCCUUAAAAACACAAUAGAGAAAAUUUGGAGAGAGAUCAAAAUAAGAGAGUGGUUUGAGGGUUUAAUUUAGAGAGAUCAGAGAGAGAAGAUUGAAAGACUGAAACUGUGUUCAGCAACUUAAAGAGAAGACUGAGGUGCCAGAGUGUCUGAGAAGUAAAAUAACUGAUGUUGGGAGUGAACGAGGCUGGGCAGAAGUUAUAACUCAUAGAGGCUAGGAAAUGAGAAGUUCGGUCAAACAUGAGCUUUGUGAGGAUGCAACUUCUGAUAAUGGAAUGGAUGCAGAAAACCCUGCGUGUGGGACUUUGAAGGGACCCCAUUGCUGGAUAUAGCUCUGAUGCCCUAAUUAGGAAGCCAAAGAAAGGCAAAAGUCUACUUUGUUUUUACUUUUUCACUUUCUCCGUGAUGGCCCUCCUCACCAUCCUUUUUGCUGCCUUUCCUGAAUAUAUAGACUGUUUAAAGUUGAACUGGCUAAUUAGACUGCCAUGUUAAAAUAAAUAGUUCUAGUUCUGAGAGUGAAAAGCUGUGGUUCAAAUUAAAGCCAAAGCACGCAAUCUGCGUAUCUCUGCAUGAUGUGCAUGCUGCUUUGCGGAUGGUGAAAUCCAUCCAGUGACCACAAUGAUUUUUCUUUAAACAGUACUCGAGACUGAUUUUCAAAAAUGUCAGACAGAAGCAAGUUUAGAACAGUCGGAUUGAAUUUAACUAUAUUUCAAUACCCUUUUAUCCACUCUCCUUCACCUGUCUUUCCAUCUUCUCUCCCUGCUUUCUUCUUGUCUCCCAAGAACAGUUACAGUCACACAGAUAUUUUAGAAUUUGUAUAGUUCUAAUUUUGAAACCGAUACUCUUCUAUUGUAAACUGGCACACUUGCAUUGAAGGUAUACUGGAUUAAUCCAAAUAGUGCUCUGUCCUUUUCUUCCACAUGUGAAAGUGCAAGAAGUCUUAAUGCAAAUCCAUAAUUGUUGAUACACAAACUAGGCAAAUUUUCCUUAAAAUAAGUAAUAGAAAAGCAGAACGAAGUGCAGAAUCAAAAUACUAAGGAAAGACACAAAUUUUGAUAGCCCCAUUUUUUAAGAGUAGUAUGCAGCCUAAAUAGA